AACCAUUCUCACCUGCGGCUAGACCUGCGGAGGGAUCAUUACUGAGUGAGGGCCCUCUGGGUCCAACCUCCCACCCGUGUUUAUUGUACCUUGUUGCUUCGGUGGGCCCGCCGCAAGGCCGCCGGGGGCUUCCGCCCCGGGCCCGCGCCCACCGGAGACAAACUGAACUCUGUCUGAAUGUUGCAGUCUGAGUAAAAACUUAAUAAGUUAAAACUUUUAACAACGGAUCUCAGAUCGGAA
rnacentral:misc_RNA from 1 species